CCCUUAGAUGUUCUGGGCCGCACGCGCGCUACACUGAUGCAUUCAACGAGCCUAUCCUUGACCGACAGGUCCGGGUAAUCUUUGAAUCUGCAUCGUGACGGGGAUAGAUUAUUGCAAUUAUUAAUCUUCAACGAGGAAUGCCUAGUAGGCGCAAGUCAUCAGCUUGCGUCGAUUACGUCCCUGCCCUUUGUACACACCGCCCGUCUCUCCUACCGAUUGGGUGUGCUGGUGAAAUGUUCGGAUCGGCCGUUUGUCGCGGUUUCCGCGUCAUGUGGCUGAGAAGUUCAUUAAACCCUCCCACCUAGAGGAAGGAGAAGUCGUAACA
rnacentral:rRNA from 1 species